CACGUAGGGCGCAAGCGUUGUCCGGAAUUAUUGGGCGUAAAGAGCUCGUAGGUGGUUUGUUACGUCCGCUGUGAAAACCUAGGGCUUAACCCUGGGCUUGCAGUGGAUACGGGCAGACUAGAGUGCGGUAGGGGAGACUGGAAUUCCUGGUGUAGCGGUGAAAUGCGUAGAGAUGUGGAGGAACACCGAUGGCGAAGGCAGCCCCCUGGGUCAAGAUUGACGCUCAUGCACGAA
rnacentral:rRNA from 1 species